CCUACGGGUGGCAGCAGUGGGGGAUAUUGCACAAUGGGGGAAACCCUGAUGCAGCGACGCCGCGUGUGUGAAGACGGUCCUCUGUAUUGUAAACCACUUUCGCCAGGGACGAAGACUACCGUACCUGUGGAGGAACCUCCGCCUAACGACGUGCCACCAGUCGCGGUAUUCCGUGGGGCGCGGGCGUUGGCCGGAAUUACUGGGUGUAAGGGGAGCGUAGGCGGGGAGGAAAGGUGGGUGGAAAAGCUACCGGGUAAACUGGUAGUCGCACUCGAAACUGGAGCACUUGAGUGAAGUAGAGGCAGGCGGAAUUCCGAGUGUAGCGGUGAAAUGCGUAGAUAUUAGGAGGAACACCAGUGGCGAAGGCGGCCUGCUGGGCUUUUACUGACGCUGAGGCUCGAAAGUGUGGGGAGCAAACAGGAUUAGAUACCCCUGUAGUC
rnacentral:rRNA from 1 species